AUUAAGAUAUUAUCUUAUUUAAAAUAUUUUUCUUGGAAAAAGCCCCACUUACAAACAUAUGCAUGAUAUGCAUGAACAUAAUAUAUGAUGAAUGCAUGCAUGAUAUGGAUGACAAGGUAUGAAUACAUGAUAAUUUAAAGAUGCAUGUAACAAAGUAAAAUAAAAUGCAAAUGUAUGAAAUGUGGCAAAUGCUGGUUUUAGGGUUUAGGGGUUGGUUUGGAUUUUUAGGUUUUAGGGGAAGUUUGGAGUCUAGGUUUGGUUUCGGGGUUAGGUUGGGUUGGUUUAGAGUAUAGGUUAGGGUUUAGGGUUGAUUUGAGGUCUAGGUUAGGGUUUAGAGUAUGGAGUUUAGGUUUAGGGUUUGAUUUGGCUUAGGGUUUAAGGUUUGAGGUUUAAAGUUAGAGUCAGGGUUUAGUGUUUGGUUUAGGGUUUAGGGUUUAGGGUUUAGGUAUAGGGUUUAAAGUUUGGGUUUAGGGUUUAGGUAUAGGGUUUAAAGUUUGGGUUUUGGGUUAGAUUUAGCUUUACAUAAAGAGUACAUUGACACAUAUUGCUUGGUCGCUUGACGAAUGGCUUUCUACGACGUUAGUGAGAGCAGAGUCCAAACCAAAACCAAUUAAGCCAUUCUAAUUAGAGUAUGAUAAUGAAUUCAUUGGUGGCAAAGCUCUAAGCCUGCAGACGGAUAUCCGUCGGGACCCGAGGAUACCAGCGAUGAUGAGGUUCCCAUGAUGAUGACAUGCAACGUUAUAUCCGUCAGAACAGACUGAACAUCUAAAGAGCUCAUCAUUGAGCUAGACCGGAAAGAUGAAGGCCGAGCUAAGGAUGCAAUAGCUCAAGACUUUAAGAUGGUGAAUGAGGUAAAAAGUCUCCAUCGAUAUGGCC
rnacentral:lncRNA from 1 species